AGUAGCAUAGAAUGGUGAAGUAUUUGAGUAAAUGUACUCAGUUACAUUCCACCACUGGUGUCCUGUACACACUAAAAUUCCCCUAAAGCAAACACCAGUACAUGCUACAGGCUUACCUUUCCUUUCCCAGUUUGCUAUUCACUUCCUUUUCUUACACCUGUUCCCAAUCCUCCAAUCAACUUCCCACCAUCAUAUAAACUCACUGUCACCUUCAGGUCCCCACCAGACUGUUUAUUAAGUGACAUUAAAUGCAAUUUUCUAUCAAACCAGUCCUGACUCCUUCUAUUGUUUGAUAUCAGCACCUUUUAAUUUUUCCCUUGUCACACUGAGUCGAUGUGACGUCCUGUCAGCAGUCCGAAAAGGCCACAUCAUGUUCUUUUUAAACCUUAACAGGGGCUCUCAUUUAAAAAAAACAACAUUUAUCUUUCUCUGUUCUUUGUGACCUUUAUAAAUCCCCCGUCCACACCGCCUAGACUUUGCUCAAAUUAUGCCUUAAUUACAUCAAAGCAAUUACAGAGCUGCUAUGAACAGAAGAGUUCAGACCUGAACCGGAGAACAAGCCUGUCUCUGGUGGCUCUGCACAGAAAAUAUAUAAAGAAGGGGAUGUCUUUUCAUUCUGGCUUCGCUUUGAGCAAUAAUUAGUCAGCACAACACAAACAGACUUUAACUAAUAAGAAAAUAUAAUUAACAACAGAAACAAGACAGGAAAAACAUGCCCAGAUAAAAUGUUUUAUGUUUCUUGGUGGCUUUUGUAAUGCUGACACCUUGUGGCGAAACACCUCAUUACAGCUCAUCCACCGCUCUUAUUUUGAAAUACACGGGCAAAAUGAGUAGAGGGUUUUAGCAGUGGUCAGUGUUCGUGUGAUUGGCUGAGUGCUGAUCAUGUGAUUGCAAGUUACACAAGGUGGAUGUGUUGGAAAAUAUCCCAGUGCACCGAGAGCAACAGAUUCUUGGACCUUUUAGACACUAGAUGGAGUCAUCAUCAUGCAAAACCCACACUGCUGCAGACAGUUCAAGGUUCAGCGUUACUUUAAAGGGUCCUCUUCUAUAACUCCAGUUCAAACCAUGGACGUCCAUCCUGUACUGGACCUUCUUGAUGAUGGGGAAUGCAGAGCUGAUCCAGGAGACUUUAGAGGCCAGAUCUCAUCACACUAGGCCUUCAGCUCUGAAUGUAAACAUCCUCAUAAUCCUCAGACAGACCCCUGAGUCCUCCGGAGCCCCUGAACCGAUCAUUCGUCUUCAAACACUCCCCUAAGCAUCUUUUUUUUUUUUUAGGAAAGGAGAGAUUUUUUUGGACGAUAGACGGAUGAUGGAGAUCUUUUUGAAGUGUUUGGUCCUCCUCCCCUCGAAGGUACACAGAUUACUUUUCUUUCACUUCUCCUGAUAGACGAAUGAGACCAACAAAAAGCUGCCAAACUUUCAGUCUAAAGGUUCAGGGUUAUUCUUUGUAUAGCAGCUUUAUUUCAGUCUAAAUUCUGUGCAUAGUAAACCGCUUUUAAUGUCCACGAUAGGCC